UUCACACACAAACUUACAUUUUAAUUUUCAAUUAUCCCUUUUUAACAAUAUAUAUAUAGAGAGUUGAGAUAGAACACUCUCAAAAGCACUAACAGGUUCGUGCUUUUGAGUUUUUAACUAUUGGAUGGAGAGAUGUAGGGUUGAAAUGAUGGUGGUAGGUGGUGGUAGGUAGAAUAGUAUUUAAUGCAAAUGUUAUUAGUAAUAAAAAGUAGAUCGAAGGGUUAAAAACUCAAAAGCACCAGGGGUUAGUGCUUUUGAGAGUUUUCUAGCUCAAUUAUAUAUAUAUAUAUAUAUAUAGAGAGAGAGAGAGAGAGAGAGAGAGAGAGAGAGUGAGUCCGGUUACUAUACUCUUAUGAGUACGAUCGCCCUCGUACUUAUAAGUUGUUUUCGAUUAUGAUAGAGCUUCUGAAUCGAUAAUUCACACCAUUAAACGUUAUCUAGAGCAUUUAAAACAUCUAAAAAUAAAAUUUUAUAGUUUUUCGACAUCAUUUACUUUAUGAUCAAAAGGUCACAAAAUUAAUAAUUUUUAACGACCGGUAUGGAAUAUUUACUAGUUUAACGGUGUAAAAAAAUCGGAAUAAGUUAAAUUUUUUAUAGAAAAUUCUAUUCGCUAUAUAGAUAAAGAUCAAUAACUCCGAUCUUAAAUUGAAGGAUCCUAUCAUCCAUUUUUAAGACGUCGUUCGAUUUUGAUUGUUCAUUUUAUACCCACUUGAUGAACUUUAUUAUGAUUUCAAAAAUUACGAAAUUUAUUUUCUAUAAGUUUCAAAUACUCUAGAUCAUAUUUAACGGAGUGGAUCAUCGAUUCGGAAGCUCUAUCAUUGAAAACAACUUAUAAGUAUAAAGGGCUUUAUACUCAUAAGAGUAUAGUAACCCUAGUGCAUAUAUAUAUAUAUAUAUAUAUAUAUAUAUAACUAGGCUACUAUGCUAUUAAUAGCACCAAGUUAUUGGUGCUACCAAGUUUUUGGCCAUUGGAUUAAGAGAUGUGUGAUCAGGAUGAUGUGGCCCCCCUAGGGUUUAGUGGGUGGUUGGUUAAAUAGUAUGAUCUAAUGGGUGAAAGUGAUCAAAAUGGUAGAUCUAACGGCGGAAAACUUGGUAGCAUCAAGUGCUUUGUGCUAUUAAUAGCAUAGUAGCCGGACUCUCUCUCUCUCUCUCUAUAUAUAUAUAUAUAGGCUGGGGCUACUACACUCUUAUGAGCAUAGACCCUCUUAUACUCAUAAAUUUUUAACCGUUGAUUGAUUAGAUGUGUGGUUAGAAUGAUGGUGAUCCCCACUUAAAAUGAUAGUGGUCCCCUAGGGUUGAGUGGAUAGUUGGUUAAAUAGUAUGAUCAUCUAACGGAUGAAAAUGAUUAAUGAAAUAAAUCUAGGGGCCGAAAACUUAUGAGUAUAAGGGAAUCAAUACUCACAAAAAUAUAAUAGCCGGACUCUCUCUCUCUCUCUCUCUCUCUCUCUCUCUCUCUCUAUAUAUAUAUAUAUAUAUAUAUACUAAGAUUACUAUACUCUUAUGAGUAUUAACCCAUUUGUACUGAUAAGUUUUCCAACAUUGGAUGAAAAGAUGUGUGGUUAGAAUGAUAAUGAUCUUUUAGGGUUGAGCAUGUGAUUAGUUGGAUAUUAUAAUCUAACGGAUAGAAAUGCUUAAAAAAUUAAAUUUAAUGGUCGAAAAUUUAUAAAUACAAAAAAAAUUAUACUCAUAAGCGUAUAGU
rnacentral:lncRNA from 1 species